AUUGAACGCUGGCGGCAGGCCUAACACAUGCAAGUCGAACGAGUGGCGGACGGGUGAGUAAUGUCUGGGAAACUGCCUGAUGGAGGGGGAUAACUACUGGACACGGUAGCUAAUACCGCAUACCAUCGGAUGUGCCCAUAGGGGAUUAGCUAGUAGGUGUGGUAACGGCUCACCUAGGCGACGAUCCCUAGCUGGUCUGAGAGGAGGACCAGCCACACUGGAACUGAGACACGGCCAAGACUCCUACGGGAGGCAGCAGUGGGGAAUAUUGCACAAUGGGCUCAAGCCUGAUGCAGCCAUGCCGCGUGUAUGAAGAAGGCCUUCGGGUUGUAAAGUACUUUCAGUGGGGAGGCGUUACCGGCAGAAGAAGCACCGGCUAACUCCGUGCCAGCAGCCGCGGUAAUUC
rnacentral:rRNA from 1 species